CCUACGGGUGGCAGCAGUGAGGAAUAUUGGUCAAUGGACGCAAGUCUGAACCAGCCAAGCCGCGUGCAGGAAGACGGCCCUAUGAGUUGUAAACUGCUUUUGUACGAGGGUAAACGCAGAUACGCGUAUCUGUCUGAAAGUAUCGUACGAAUAAGGAUCGGCUAACUCCGUGCCAGCAGCCGCGGUAAUACGGAGGAUUCAAGCGUUAUCCGGAUUUAUUGGGUUUAAAGGGUGCGUAGGCGGUCGGAUAAGUUAGAGGUGAAAUCCCGGGGCUCAACUUCGGAAUUGCCUCUGAUACUGUUCGGCUUGAGAGGAGUUGCGGUAGGCGGAAUGUAUGGUGUAGCGGUGAAAUGCUUAGAGAUCAUGCAGAACACCGAUUGCGAAGGCAGCUUACCAAGCUACUUCUGACGUUGAGGCACGAAAGCGUGGGGAGCAAACAGGAUUAGAUACCCCUGUAGUC
rnacentral:rRNA from 1 species